rnacentral:rRNA from 1 species
CAGUCGCCGCGGUAAUACGUAGGGUGCGAGCGUUAAUCGGAAUUACUGGGCGUAAAGCGUGCGCAGGCGGUUUUGUAAGACAGGCGUGAAAUCCCCGGGCUCAACCUGGGAAUGGCGCUUGUGACUGCAAAGCUAGAGUGCGGCAGAGGGGGAUGGAAUUCCGCGUGUAGCAGUGAAAUGCGUAGAUAUGCGGAGGAACACCGAUGGCGAAGGCAAUCCCCUGGGCCUGCACUGACGCUCAUGCACGAAAGCGUGGGGAGCAAACAGGAUUAGAUACCCGCGUAGUCCCUGUCUCUUAUCU